GGCAAGAUGGCCGAGCGGUCCAAGGCGCUGUGUUCAGGCUCGUAUCCACGAUACCUCGACAUCGCAGUCUUUCUGAGGCGUGGGUUCGAAUCCCACUCUUGUCA